AAUGGGAUAACUGGGUCAAAUGGUUCCAUUCCAAAUUUUUUGAGGAAUCUCCAUACUGCUUUCCAUAGUGUUGUACCAAUUUGCAGUCCCACCAGCAAC
rnacentral:pre_miRNA from 1 species